ACUCUAUCCCGAUAGGGACGAAGACGACUACCCUGUUGGCCCCGGACAUAGAUCCCCGGCAGGACUCGGGAGGUUGGCCCGACGGUGGGCGGCGGCGUGCGGGUGGGGCGACGAGACGGGCGGGGUUGCCGCAGGCUACGGUGGUGGUUAAGAGCAGUGGGCGGAGUUGGAGCGGUGGACUCAGAGUGGUUAGUGGCGGUCGGGGUCGAGACAGUGACGGCAGGAGUCAGACGCCACGGCAAGCCGCCGAUAGUGGAAGAAGCAGCGAGCUAGAGGUGGAAGAAGAGGGCGCGGCGCUAGGAGCCUCGGAGGGGUCGCGGGGUCGCGCGAUAACUUGGUACAAAGAAAAUCUCGAGUGGCUUUUAACUCCACGUUUGAGCAACAAAACCAACCAAAUCCUCCCCUCGAAACGAAAUCAGCUCUUAAACCUAGAUCCCCGUCUUGUCAGGUACGUCUGCUCUCCAGAUCACCUCCUCCCCCCUCACGAUGGCCUCCGCCGAAAUGCCCAACCCCAGCCCCGACGCCACCAACCCCGCCCCCGCCCUCUCGUCGUCGCCGCCGCUCCCGCCGCGCAAACGCCGACUCUCCCCUUCCCCCUCUCCCUCCCCCACGCGCUCCGCGUCCCGCUCCCGCUCCCGCUCCCCGCGCGGCCGCCGCAGCCGCAGCCGCAGCCGGAGCAGGAACCGCAGCCGCAGCCGGAGCAGGAGCCGCAGCCGCAGCCGCAGCCCGCAGCACCCCCACGAGGGCAAGCGGCGGCGGCACACCGACCUUACUGUCGAGGUGUGCCGCGACUUCCUGCGCGACAGGUGCACCCGCUCCGACAUCGAGUGCAGAUACGCGCACCCGCACCACUCCGUCUCCGUCGACCUGGAAAACAAGGUGACGGCGUGCGCGGAUUCGCUGAGGAACAAUUGCUUCCGGGGGAGGACAUGCCGCUACUACCACCCGCCUCCCCAUAUCCAGGAAUCAUUGCUGAGAUCAAUUGGUGUGGAAGACCCAAAGGUGAAGAUGCAGGUUUGCAGAGAUUUUGCACGUGGAAGAUGUUCAAGAUCAGCAAACGAGUGCCGAUUCUUGCACCAUUCGUCUGUUGAAGAUUGUUCAAUUGUUUGCCAAGAUUUCUUGCGUGGACGGUGCGAACGCAAAUCAUGUAGGUACUCUCAUGUAGUAGCACAUCCAGUGCCACCAAUGGGCAAUGUUCCCAUUCAAUACCCUGAGAUGCUUUACAUGCCACCACCACCACCACCUCUUGGAGUACCAAUGAUGGGGCCUCCUCCUUCGCCUCCGAUAACUUUUGCUGAUAAUAAGAACACAGUGGAAGUCUGUAGGGACUUCUUGAAGAACAUGUGUACUAGAGAAUCCUGCCGAUUUGCACACCCUGAGACACAUACUUCGGUAAUGAAUGACAAGGUUGAAGUUUGCCGUGAUUUUAAACGAGGAGAAUGCAAUCGACCUGCCUGUCGCUUUUACCAUCCAUAUACAGGCUGAAGCUUCUGUUAGUUAAAAUGCAUGUACGUUGCAACGAAAAUACAAACAUUGGACGAGGUAAAAUUAAGCACAAACUCAGGUAUGAAGAUGUGGUCAUGUGGAUGUGCCAUGGGAGCAUCGCCGAACCUAGUUUGAUAUCAAAUGGUAGGUGAUUAUCCAUUAAUUUCUCUUCUAAUUUAUUUAUUUAUUUUUAUUAGUAAAACAGGUCUCAUCCGUAGCCAGUAACAAGGUGGAGAGACUGAAGGGCGAGGGUGUAUAGCAAAAGUGGAUAAAUUAUUUAAAUUUUAAGAGGUUUUAUUAGAUAGUAGGAGGGUAGAGGGAAGAGGUGACACCAGACACGAGAACCAACUCGUGUUUUAUAUAGUAGAGAAAUUUUUCAACCUUUGGUUUUGCUACCGGUGGCUGCUGGUCUAAUCAGGCACCACCAGAGGAUACUCGGAUAUUCUUGAUGCUAAAAUAGGACUGCAGUACCGACUACCAAGUUAAUUGGAACAAGAAGAUGUCUGAAGAGCCGAGUGAUAUGAUUUAUGCAAAACAAGCCAUUGUACUUUGGUCUGAGCGCAUGCUACUUCUCUGAGCUUCGCCUGGUGCUGUUGAACUUCUCUCGGCUGUUGUGACUGUAUUACUGUACUACUACUGAACUUGUGUUACCACUUAGCCGUGGUUACGAACAGCAGCAGUUGUUUUGGUAUACCGUUGUUUUUCUGACGACCUGUGAGCCUGUGAUUGCAUCUGUAGCUGUACAUAAAUGGUAAGUAGAAACUAUCUUCGCACGAAAAAAAAGCACGCAGGUCGUUCUCGCUGCUUUCGGGUAAAAAGUGACGAUAAAAAAAGUGUCAUUUAUUAUCUGCAGUGUCUCUCCUGUAUGGUUGUCUGGUACUUCUAAAGAACGCCGAAUGACAUCGGCAGCGAGCAGACCAUGCUAUAAACGUCAUCGCUUAAGCAGCGUGACGAUCAGAUGAACUCUGUAGCCUUCCAUUUUUUCAGAUUUAUCUUUCAAGUUUGAUAAGUUUACGUGACACCCUUUCCUUAUUAAGAUAUGUGCUCAGCCAUCGCCAAUCAUGAUUGUAAACUAAUGAGGUCUAACUCAUCGUCGAGAUUGUAUCUGGGCUCGAACCCGGCGCGCACCUCCUUAAUUCUGAACUGAACAUCAGAUCAACUGGCACGUCCUACGUUGAAAAGCCAGCGAGAGAGGUUUGAGCUCCUAAUAAGAUCGACCCGACCAUGGCUGUGCUGAGGCUCGACGUCCAACGGAACAUCGAGAUCCAUGGAUUUCAUCAUUGCACUAUUACAGAGGUUUGAGGAGGGCUCUGACCAGCAGGGCCUUGCGCAGCUCCUAGAAGCCGUGUACGAGGCCAGUCUAAAGCCAUAGCAUGGCCGGAUCUCUUCAGCCGCAUGCAAGGUCGGGAAUUACUGAAACGUUUGGGUGGCACUAAUCCUGUCGAAAACGAGAGACAAUUUCUCAGUUUCUGCUGACACGAUCCUGGUAACUUGGUGAGCAACACAGAUAGCAAUUCGUGAGAGGAAGAUCUUCAUCAGCUUGCUCGUAGGGAUGGACCAAGACCGAGCUGUCCUGAAGGAUGAGAUCGAAGAGCCCGCGUCGUUGCUUCUACCCCUCCCGGAUGGCAUCCGCUCGAUGAUGGCCAAGCUCAGACUGGAUAGGCUCAAGUCCACGUGACAGCGAACCGAAGUGAGCGUCCCGUACUGUGAAUAUUGCCUUGGGUUAACUUGGCUGUGCUGUAAAGGUUUCCGUUCGGAAGCGGUUCUUCUCU